CAGCUGUUUGCCUGACCUCUCCAGCUCAACAACCUGGUCAACAGUCAAAUCGGGAAUAGAGGGCACUGCUUUAGAUUCUGUCUGCUUUGGUUUCCCGAGCACUACUCAAAGUGGUAGUUGACCUCUGAAUCAAUGUCUGAUUGCGUGGAUAACAGGCAAAGGAAGCUGGAGAGAUCAGAAUAGCAUCGUAACAUUACAGCUUCUCUUUGAUGCUUGACAAAAUGUAUCUGAUGUUUGAAUCAGCAGAGGAUACAUUGCAAGCAACAGACUGCAAUAAGGAGGAAAAGGAAUGUGGAAGGAAACUGGAGCACUUGGAGGAAACCCACUUGGUCAUGGAGAGGACAUACAAAUUCCUUACGGACAGUGGAGGGAAUGAGCACGGGUCACCGAUGCUUUAAUUGUAUGACGUUAACUGCUACACAACUGUGCUGCAUGCAUCUCCUGGAGGAUAUUUCUACAAUGGAAGUAAAAAUCAUUUAUAAUAACCUAGAAUGUCAAUUUAUAUGGAACUCCGAUCCCCAUAUCCUGUUCCACUAAUGAAGAUCG